rnacentral:rRNA from 1 species
GAUGAACGCUGGCGGCGUGCCUAAUACAUGCAAGUAGAACGCUGAAGCUUGGUGCUUGCACCGAGCGGAUGAGUUGCGAACGGGUGAGUAACGCGUAGGUAACCUGCCUCUUAGCGGGGGAUAACUAUUGGAAACGAUAGCUAAUACCGCAUAAAAGUCAAUAUCGCAUGAUAUUGAUUUGAAAGGUGCAAAUGCAUCACUAAGAGAUGGACCUGCGUUGUAUUAGCUAGUUGGUGAGGUAACGGCUCACCAAGGCGACGAUACAUAGCCGACCUGAGAGGGUGAUCGGCCACACUGGGACUGAGACACGGCCCAGACUCCUACGGGAGGCAGCAGUAGGGAAUCUUCGGCAAUGGGGGCAACCCUGACCGAGCAACGCCGCGUGAGUGAAGAAGGUUUUCGGAUCGUAAAGCUCUGUUGUAAGAGAAGAACGAGUGUGAGAGUGGAAAGUUCACACUGUGACGGUAACUUACCAGAAAGGGACGGCUAACUACGUGCCAGCAGCCGCGGUAAUACGUAGGUGGCAAGCGUUGUCCGGAAUUAUUGGGCGUAAAGCGCGCGCAGGUGGUUUAAUAAGUCUGAUGUGAAAGCCCACGGCUCAACCGUGGAGGGUCAUUGGAAACUGUUAAACUUGAGUGCAGGAGAGAAAAGUGGAAUUCCUAGUGUAGCGGUGAAAUGCGUAGAGAUUAGGAGGAACACCAGUGGCGAAGGCGGCUUUUUGGCCUGUAACUGACACUGAGGCGCGAAAGCGUGGGGAGCAAACAGGAUUAGACACCCUGGUAGUCCACGCCGUAAACGAUGAGUGCUAAGUGUUGGUCUCAUAAGAGAUCAGUGCUGCAGCUAACGCAUUAAGCACUCCGCCUGGGGAGUACGACCGCAAGGUUGAAACUCAAAGGAAUUGACGGGGACCCGCACAAGCGGUGGAGCAUGUGGUUUAAUUCGAAGCAACGCGAAGAACCUUACCAAGUCUUGACAUACUGUGAGGACACAAGAGAUUGUGUUGUUCUGACCUUUGGUUAGACACAGAUACAGGUGGUGCAUGGUUGUCGUCAGCUCGUGUCGUGAGAUGUUGGGUUAAGUCCCGCAACGAGCGCAACCCUUAUAUCUAGUUGCCAGCAGUAAGAUGGGGACUCUAGAUAGACUGCCAGUGAUAAACUGGAGGAAGGUGGGGAUGACGUCAAAUCAUCAUGCCCCUUAUGACUUGGGCUACACACGUGCUACAAUGGAUAGGAACAAAGAGAAGCGAGCUCGCGAGAGUAAGCAAACCUCACAAAACUAUUCUCAGUUCGGAUUGUAGUCUGCAACUCGACUACAUGAAGCUGGAAUCGCUAGUAAUCGCGAAUCAGAAUGUCGCGGUGAAUACGUUCCCGGGUCU